rnacentral:misc_RNA from 1 species
GACGAAGGUCGGUAUCAAGACAGGAAUAUUCGAACAGGAAGUAGACAAAGGGAGUCCAAGAUGAAGAAGACGAAGGUCGGUAUCAAGACAGGAAUAUUCGAACAGGAAGUAGACAAAGGGAGUCCCAAGAUGAAGAGACGAAGGUCGGUAUCAAGACAGAAAUUCGAACGGGAAGCAAGCAAAGGGAGUCCCAAGAUGAAGAAGACGAAGGCCGGUAUCAAGACAGGAAUAUUCGAACAGGAAGCAGACAAAGGGAGUCCCAAGAUGAAGACGAAGGUCGGUAUCAAGACAGAAUAUUCGAACAGAGAGCAGACAAAGGGAGUCCCAAGAUGAAGACGAAGGUCGUAUCAAGACAGAAAUAUUCGAACGGGAGCAGACAAAGGGAGUCCCAAGAUGAAGACGAAGGUCGGUAUCAAGACAGAAAUAUUCGAACGGAAGCAGACAAAGGGAGUCCCAAGAUGAAGACGAAGGUCGGUAUCAAGACAGGA